GACAUUUCCUGGUUGCACGCGUGUAUAACUUCAACCUAUUAGCAAAUCGUACAUUUCCGAGUUUCUUAGUUCCAACUAGGACUUGAACGCGGCAAAUAAUCAGAGGCACAUCGUGCGGCGGAAGAGGGCGAAAACGCGACGUGGGGACCGCAGUUGUGCCGCAUCAAGCCAAAUUCGUGAUGUGACGCCGUCGCGGAAACGGUAAAACGUAAUCUAGCGUCUUCUAGCGACAAAUCAAGGAGCCAAUAGCUGUAAUCACUGAAAACCAGUCAGCAACACUGCACGGUGUCAACGUGCUUUUCAUGGUAGGAUCGCGUAGUAAACAGAGGCAGAGGUCGGAGUGGAGCUCAUUACUACUGAAGACAUCUAUGCACAUUUCACAAGGAAUCGUUGUUCGUUGAAUGAAGCUUUACCGACGAGAAAAUAAUAUGCAGACGUCUAGAUGAUUAUGCUGCUGGUUUGCAACUCUAGGACAACGUGAUCUCGAGGAACAAUAAAUCAGCCAAUUUUUAUCCAUGGUGUUUGCAAGUUGUAAAGAGAUGGAUGGUAUCGGGAACACAAUGCAGAAGAAGGCUGCGGAGCUCGAGCGCAUGGCCGAGGUUCUCGUCACCGGAGAGCAGUUGAGGUAGGAGUGGCUGGCUCGAGCUGAGAGCUCCGUAUGAUCCUG